GUAGUUAGCCGUGGCUUGUUUUCAGGGUACCGUCUUCUACUCUUCCCCUGUCAAAGAAGUUUACAAUCCGAAAACCUUCUUCCCUCACGCGGCGUUGCUGGGUCAGGCUUGCGCCCAUUGCCCAAUAUUCCCCACUGCUGCCUCCCGUAGGAGUCUGGACCGUGUCUCAGUUCCAGUGUGGCCGAUCAGCCUCUCAGCUCGGCUACCCAUCGCGGACUUGGUGGGCCGUUACCCCGCCAACUAUCUAAUGGGACGCGAGCCCCUCCUUCUGCGGAUUACUCCUUUGACCUCUCUGCCAUGCGACAGUGUGGUCUUAUGCGGUAUUAGCAACAAUUUCUUGUUGUUAUCCCCCUNAAAAGGACAGGUUGCUCACGCGUUACUCACCCGUUCGCCACUAAACUACCAACCGAAGUCAAUAGCUCCGUUCGACUUGCAUGUGUUAGGCACGCCGCCAGCGUUCGUCCUGAACACGAGUCAACUAACUCGUACNCGUAGCGGGCGUCGGCGAACGGACGGCGAUAG
rnacentral:rRNA from 1 species